rnacentral:tRNA from 11 species
GCCCGAGUGGCGGAAUGGUAGACGCAGGGGAUUCAAAAUCCCCCGCCGCAAGGCGUGCCGGUUCGAGUCCGGCCUCGGGUACCA